UACGGGGGGGGCAAGCGUUGUUCGGAAUUACUGGGCGUAAAGGGCUCGUAGGUGGCCAACUAAGUCAUACGUGAAAUCCCUCAGCUUAACUGGGGAACUGCGCCUGAUACUGGUUGGCUUGAGUUUGGGAGAGGGACGCGGAAUUCCAGGUGUAGCGGUGAAUGACGUAGAUAUCUGGAGGAACACCGGUGGCGAAGGCGGCGUCCUGGACCAAUACUGACACUGAGGAGCGAAAGCCAGGGGAGCAAACGGG
rnacentral:rRNA from 1 species